rnacentral:tRNA from 1 species
GAGGGUAUAGCUCAGUGGUCGAGUGUGUGCUUAGCAUGCAUGAAGUCCUGGGUUCAAUCCCUAGUACCUCCA